ensembl:misc_RNA
UGCUUUUGAGUUUAAAUGGGGUGGGGUGCUAAGUAUAUCUUGUUUACCUUAUCUUUCCGUGGAAAAAGUUUUGAAGUCUAGUUGGGUUUUUCAUAUCAUGCCUGUCGCCUAGCACUACCAAAAGUGUCCUUGUCCAGCAACAAUGACUGAAUUAAUAGGUUGAGGUUCUAUCUUGGU